GACGAACGCUGGCGGCGUGCUUAGCACAUGCAAGUCGAACGGAAAGGCCCUGCUUUUGUGGGGUGCUCGAGUGGCGAACGGGUGAGUAACACGUGAGUAACCUGCCCUUGACUUUGGGAUAACUUCAGGAAACUGGGGCUAAUACCGGAUAGGAGCUCCUGCUGCAUGGUGGGGGUUGGAAAGUUUCGGCGGUUGGGGAUGGACUCGCGGCUUAUCAGCUUGUUGGUGGGGUAGUGGCUUACCAAGGCUUUGACGGGUAGCCGGCCUGAGAGGGUGACCGGCCACAUUGGGACUGAGAUACGGCCCAGACUCCUACGUGAGGCAGCAGUGGGGAAUAUUGCACAAUGGGCGGAAGCCUGAUGCAGCAACGCCGCGUGCGGGAUGACGGCCUUCGGGUUGUAAACCGCUUUCGCCUGUGACGAAGCGUGAGUGACGGUAAUGGGUAAAGAAGCACCGGCUAACUACGUG
rnacentral:rRNA from 1 species